AACGAACGCUGGCGGCAGGCUUAACACAUGUAAGUCGAGCGCCCGCAGGGGAGCGGCAGACGGGUGGGUAACGCGUGGGAAUCUACCCAUCCCUACGGAACAACUCCGGGAAACUGGAGCUAAUACCGUAUACGCCCUACGGGGGAAGGAUUUAUCGGGGGUGGAUGAGCCCGCGUUGGAUUAGCAAGUUGGUGGGGGAAGGGCCUACCAAGGCGACGAUCCAUAGCUGGGCGGAGAGGAGGAUCAGGCACAUUGGGACUGAGACACGGCCCAAACUCGUACGGGAGGCAGCAGAGCGGAAUAUUGGACAAUGGGCGCAAGCUUGAGCCAGCCAUGCCGCAUGAGUGAUGAAGGUCUUAGGAUUGUAAAGCUCUUUCACCGGAGAAGAUAAUGACGGUAUCCGGAGAAGAAGCCCCGGCUAACUUCGUGCCAGCCGCCGCGGUAA
rnacentral:rRNA from 1 species